GAUGAACGCUGGCGGCGUGCCUAAUACAUGCAAGUCGAGCGAACAGACGAGAAGCUUGCUUCUCUGAUGUUAGCGGCGGACGGGUGAGUAACACGUGGAUAACCUACCCAUAAGACUGGGAUAACUUCGGGAAACCGUAGCUAAUACCGGAUAAUAUUUUGAACCGCAUGGUUCAAAAGUGAAAGACGGUCUUGCUGUCACUUAUAGAUGGAUCCGCGCUGCAUUAGCUAGUUGGUAUGGUAACGGCUUACCAAGGCAACGAUGCGUAGCCGACCUGAGAGGGUGAUCGGCCACACUGGAACUGAGACACGGUCCAGACUCCUACGGGAGGCAGCAGUAGGGAAUCUUCCGCAAUGGGCGAAAGCCUGACGGAGCAACGCCGCGUGAGUGAUGAAGGUCUUCGGAUCGUAAAACUCUGUUAUUGGGGAAGAACAAAUGUGUAAGUAACUGUGCACGUCUUGACGGUACCUAAUCAGAAAGCCACGGCUAACUACGUG
rnacentral:rRNA from 1 species